GAGCUGAGGGUGAUCUAGCUGUGGCACCCAUCAUCCUAUUGAUUGCCAGGGGUGAUCUGCUUGACUAUAUAAGUGUCCCUUUUUUUCCCUAACUGCCCUGUAUCAAUUCUUUCCAUCCCUUCUUGCAGCUGUUCUCUGUUGAAUGGAUGGAUGAUCUUCUCUAGUAGAGGAGGGCCACUUUUCAGUCUAGGAUAUGCAAGUAGUUGUGCUUCCUGCUAGUUGUGCUGAUAGCAGGAGAUUACCAAAUCAUAGACCUAGUAGAACU
rnacentral:snRNA from 1 species